AGUGGCGGACGGGUGAGUAACGCGUGGGUAACCUGCCUUGUACUGGGGGACAACAGUUGGAAACGACUGCUAAUACCGCAUAAGCGCACAGCUUCGCAUGAAGCAGUGUGAAAAACUCCGGUGGUACAAGAUGGACCCGCGUCUGAUUAGCUGGUUGGUGAGGUAACGGCCCACCAAGGCGACGAUCAGUAGCCGGCCUGAGAGGGUGAACGGCCACAUUGGGACUGAGACACGGCCCAAACUCCCACGGGAGGCAGCAUG
rnacentral:rRNA from 1 species